rnacentral:sRNA from 1 species
GGAAGAAAACAGCCCAAAGAUGAGAGUGAUUCGCGUGGGUACCCGCAAGAGCCAGCUUGCUCGCAUACAGACGGACAGUGUGGUGACAACAUUGAAAGCCUCAUACCCUGGCCUGCAGUUUGAAAUCAUUGCUAUGUCCACCACAGGGGACAAGAUUCUUGAUACUGCACUCUCUAAGAUUGGAGAGAAAAGCCUGUUUACCAAGGAGCUUGAACAUGCCCUGGAGAAGAAUGAAGUGGACCUGGUUGUUCACUCCUUGAAGGACCUGCCCACUGUGCUUCCUCCUGGCUUCACCAUCGGAGCCAUCUGCAAGCGGGAAAACCCUCAUGAUGCUGUUGUCUUUCACCCAAAAUUUGUUGGGAAGACCCUAGAAACCCUGCCAGAGAAGAGUGUGGUGGGAACCAGCUCCCUGCGAAGAGCAGCCCAGCUGCAGAGAAAGUUCCCGCAUCUGGAGUUCAGGAGUAUUCGGGGAAACCUCAACACCCGGCUUCGGAAGCUGGACGAGCAGCAGGAGUUCAGUGCCAUCAUCCUGGCAACAGCUGGCCUACAGCGCAUGGGCUGGCACAACCGGGUGGGGCAGGUAGGGCCUGCCCCUAUCCUCUCCCCAGCUCAUCUGCAUCUCCUUUCUGCCUUACAGUCAUCCCCAAUUUAGGAUUUUUAGACUUUAUGAUUGUGUGAAAGCGAUAUACGUUCAG